CGUGUUUUUAAUAAAUGCCAUUAGAACCAUAAUGUCCACCUUGCCUAUGUAUGAGUAACGGGAGCUCAGGGAUCAAAAAUGGACGCCGUUCGAGGCAGCCCAACAGACGUUUAUUUGCCAAGAGGCCUGAAAUGAGGUCAUUUGAACGUGUUGAUCUUAUCUACAUCACUAGUGAAGAUCUCAGCCUUCCUCACCGCUCCUGAACCAGCGCUGUCAACAUUACAAACACGUGUGCACUCGCUCAUAAGUGGGCCUUCUACACGGAGGCAUCCAUUCAGAGGACAGGAGGGGAAGUCUUAGCCUAAUAUGGACAAAGAAGAUACAAAACUGGGUCAAGCAGAAGUAGCUGUCGGAGGGGCCUUUUUGGAUGACUCCCAUGACAAAAUCAAUUUUUUUUUCAUGAAACUGACACAUUUAUACUAAGUUCAUGUUGAAGAGUUACACCUUAGUUUUGUCAUACAAGUUCAUGUUAAAGAAUUGACCUGUGGAAGUAUAUACAGUGGUACCUCUACUUAUGAAAUGAAUUUGAGAACUCA